rnacentral:rRNA from 1 species
GAUGAACGCUGGCGGCGUGCCUAAUACAUGCAAAUCGAGCGAACGGACGAGAAGCUUGCUUCUCUGAUGUUAGCGGCGGACGGGUGAGUAACACGUGGAUAACCUACUUAUAAGACUGGGAUAACUUCGGGAAACCGGAGCUAAUACCGGAUAAUAUUUUGAACCGCAUGGUUCAAAAGUGAAAGACGGUCUUGCUGUCACUUAUAGAUGGAUCCGCGCUGCAUUAGCUAGUUGGUAAGGUAACGGCUUACCAAGGCAACGAUGCAUAGCCGACCUGAGAGGGUGAUCGGCCACACUGGAACUGAGACACGGUCCAGACUCCUACGGGAGGCAGCAGUAGGGAAUCUUCCGCAAUGGGCGAAAGCCUGACGGAGCAACGCCGCGUGAGUGAUGAAGGUCUUCGGAUCGUAAAACUCUGUUAUUAGGGAAGAACAUAUGUGUAAGUAACUGUGCACAUCUUGACGGUACCUAAUCAGAAAGCCACGGCUAACUACGUG